CGAACAUGGUCCCAGAGGCUGCCAGGACGACUCAGAAGAAGCCCCCAGCUGAGGGCUCGAAGCAGCCCUGAGGACCCACCAGCCACAGGGCAACACCAGAGAAUGGAGUGACAGACCACUAUGGGGGUGUCACAUGCAAAGAACUGUAUUCUCCAUAUUGUCUGACAAGUGUCUUCACAGGCCGCGGCUAUGAAGGGGGCAGGUUAAUGCUAUGAUAACCAAUUACAAGAGUUUCUUUUUUA